CCCUUAGAUGUUCUGGGCCGCACGCGCGCUACACUGAUGCAUUCAAGGAGCCUAUCCUUGACCGACAGGUCCGGGUAAUCUUUGAAUCUGCAUCGUGACGGGGAUAGAUUAUUGCAAUUAUUAAUCUUCAACGAGGAAUGCCUAGUAGGCGCAAGUCAUCAGCUUGCGUCGAUUACGUCCCUGCCCUUUGUACACACCGCCCGUCGCUCCUACCGAUUGGGUGUGCUGGUGAAAUGUUCGGAUCGGCCGUUUGUCGCGGUUUCCGCGUCAUGUGGCUGAGAAGUUCAUUAAACCCUCCCACCUAGAGGAAGGAGAAGUCGUAACA
rnacentral:rRNA from 1 species